rnacentral:rRNA from 1 species
AUUGAACGCUGGCGGCAGGCUUAACACAUGCAAGUCGAGCGAGCGGCGGACGGGUGAGUAAUGUCUGGGAAACUGCCUGAUGGAGGGGGAUAACUACUGGCAACGGUAGCUAAUACCGCAUACCAUCAGAUGUGCCCAGAUUGGAUUAGAGAGUAGGUGGGGUAAUGGCUCACCUAGGCGACGAUCCCUAGCCGGGCUGAGAGGAAGACCGGCCACACGGGAACUGAGACACGGCCCAGACCCCUACGGAAGGCAGCAGUGGGGAGUAUUGCACAAUGGGCGCAAGCCUGAUGCAGCCAUGCCGCGUGUGUGAAGAAGGCCGUCGGGUUGUAAAGCACGUUCAGCGAGGAGGCGUUACUCGCAGAAGAAGCACCGGCUAACUCCGUGCCAGCAGCCGCGGUAAUUC